rnacentral:lncRNA from 1 species
UUAGCUUAUAGUCAUGAAAGGGUGGGUUUCAUCUGUGUUCAUCAGAAUGUUCUAUAUCCACUGAUUAAUUUGCUUUUUCUUCAGUGACUCAGAGAUGAUUUCCUCUUCAGAAAACAGAAGAAUUUUCUGACACAUUUAUCCAGAUUGGAUGAUAUGGAGAUGAACACCAGGACUAUUUUAGAAACUGCAUGUUGAAGACCACUGAGAUAUAAAACUUAGAAAAAAAAAGGUUCUGAAUCAAUGCCUUGUGAAGACAGUUGCACAGGCUGAAAUCCAGGUGUUCACCAGGACUUUUCUUCACCUGGAGGCCCAGCUGGAGAAGAAUCUGCUUCCAAGCUCCAUCAGACUGUUAGAAAAUUAACUUCCUGUGGCUAUAGGAUUCAUGGCACGUUGCUUCUUCAAAGCCAGCAAUGGAAAGAGUCUUCUGCUCCAAGAAUGACAUGUAGUCACUCAGAAAGGGAUCAUAUGACUAGGUAAUGUCCACCCAGAAUAAUAUCGCUUUUGAUUAAGUUAAAGUCAAUCGAUUAGAGGCUUGAAUUGCAUCUGAAAAAUGUAUUUUCUUUACCGUACAACAUAAAUUAGAGUUCAGUAUGGAUUAGCAAGAGGAAUCUGCAUUUUCAAAGAUGUUUGGAAACCAGUCUUUCUCUAUCUUUGUCUCCACCUACAUUUAAGUUCUUUGAAGUCUUUCCACACAGCUACAAAUAGAAAAAGAGAAUUACAAAUUAUCUAUGGGAGAUUUGUUAUUUAAUGGGUCAGUUCUAAGCAUUAAGCAAGUUAAUCCUACUCACAUUUCACUGGCUGGAUGUCACCUCUGUGUAGUUGCAGGGAAGUUGUAAAAUGUAGUCUAGCUGUGUGCCCAAAAAGAGAAAAAGGUGGACAGUGUUCUCAGUUCUCAGUCCACCCUUCUGAUCACUGCCAAAGCAUCUGUUUCCCUUGUCUCGCCCACAGCAAAACUCUCAUACCUUUCCCAAGAGAAUCAAGCUGGAUAUUUCACAUCCCAAUGCAUCCUGUUCAAAAUCUAAUAUGGAGCAUCUCCAAGAGGUGCUCAGCUUUUCCAUCAGAUCUGGAUAGGUCUUCCUAUCAUUCAAUAAUUUAUUUUAAAGAAAAAGAAAUUGUCUAUCCUCCAAUCUUCCUCAAUUUUGAAGAAAUUCUAAAUCAGAAAGUGAAUGAAUGAGAAACCACAGAAGAAACUGGUCUGCAGCAAUUUGGAUGUCCCACUGAACAGGCUUUAUGAAGGUCAUCCACCCUGAGAAAGCAGGUGCAUUUCCUAAUUAAAUCCUGUUUCUGCUCUUUGGAAGAAACAUCGUUGUCCCUUGUUCUUUAUGGAUAUUUGCUCUAUCCUCUGGGAGUAUUUUCUUGUCCAUUUUCCAGGGUGCAUAUUUCAGAUCUGACAGGUUUCUGUAAAUCUGUAAAGUCCAUUUCUGCUGGUAUACAUAUGGAGUCUUGAAGGCUAUUUUAUUUUUAUUUUUGAGAUGGAGUCUUGCUCUGUCACUCAGGCUGGAGUGCAGUGGCAUGAUCUUGGCUCACUGCAACCUCCGCCUCCAAGAUUCAAAUGAUUCUCUUGCCUCAGCCUCCCAAGUAGCUGGGAUUACAGGCAUCCACCACCAUGCCAAGCUAAUUUUUGUAAUUUUAGUAGAGACAGAGUUUCUCCAUGUUGGCCAGGCUGGUCUCAAACUCCUGGCCUCAGGUGAUCCACCCACUUGGACUCCCAAGGCGCUGGGAUUACAGGUAGGAGCCACUACUCCUGGCCUUGAGAGCUGUUUUAAAUAUCAAAAAUGAUGGUUUCCAGUUUCAUCCAUGUCGCUGCAAAGGACGUAAACUCAUCCUUUAUUAUAGCUGCAUAGUAUUCCAUGAUGUAUAUGUGCCACAUUUUCUUUAUCCAGUCUAUCAUUGAUGGGCAUUUGGGUUGGUUCCAAGUCUGGAAACCUCAUUCUCAGCAAGCUAACACAGGAACAGAAAACCAAACACUGAAUGCUCUCACUCAUAAGUAGAAGUUGAACAAUGAGGACACAUGGACACAGGGCAGGGAACAUCACACACCAGGGCCUGUCGGGGUGUGGUAGGUUAGGGAAGGGAUAGCACUGGGAGAUGAUGGGUUGAUGGGUGCAGCAAACCACCAUGGCUCGCGUAUACCUAUGUAACUAACCUGCACGUUCUGCACAUGUAUCCCAGAACUUAAAGUAUAAUAAAUAAGCAAACAUCAAAGAAUCAAGGGCUGUUUGGUAGUAUUUUUACAAUAUGAUUUAUCCCCAAAGUAAGAGGGUUAUAAUCUACUUGUUCCUUCCUUCCCCAUGCCUCUUACUUUCCACUUAAUGGGUUGACAUUCUGAGGCACAUUGCAUAAGCCUUCUCAGAAGGUCUUGUUUUGAUUGGCACCUGUCACACACAGCAGUGGCCUCUGUCAUUAUAUAUCUUAGGUUGGAACUUUCUGCUUGCCUGCAUUGUUUUCCUAGUCUUUCAUUCUUACUCAAAUAAGACACCCAAACAUAAAACUGUCUCAGGCUCUGCUUUCAAGACAACUAAGCUGAGACACUACUUUUUGCAAAAAUGCUAAAUCUUCAAGGAUCUUUGUCAAUCCAAGGCUUUUUCAAUCUUACUUCCUAUUUUGAGGUCUCAGAAGUGGUGAUUUUACCAACCCUUUAAGGUCCCAAAUGUCUGAACUGCCGCUUGUCUCUUUCUUUUUCUACUUAUAAAGUAGCCAGUUAUUGACUAACAUCAUCAUUUUCUUUUAAUACUUUCCUAAGAUCAGCCAAUAUAAAGCAACACACAUCGUCACCCCAACUCCUCCUGGUCACUCCUUUAGAGCUAUAUUCUCAGUCAACUCAUGUAGUGCUCCCAAAUUAAGUCAAGCAACAGUUUUAAUUGAAACUUUUAUUAAGAUAAUUGUAAAUUCACAUACAAUUACAAUAAAUACUACAUAGAUAUAAUUUCUAUGCUUCUCUCAGUUUCCUCCAAUAGCAAUAUUUUGCAAAACUAUAUUAAAUAUUGCAACAAGGACUUUGAGAUUUAUACAGUCCACUGAUUCAAAUCGCCCCAGUUUUACUCUAUGCAUAUAUGUGUAUAUCAAGUUCUCUAUAAUUUUAUCACUCUUGUAGGCUCAUGUAUCUACCACCACAGUCAAGAUACUAAGAAGUCCCAACACCGCAAAGAUCCUUAUUUUGCCUUUUUACAGCUAUCCCCAUAAUUAUACUUUUUCCACCCUGCCCAGCUCUGUCACUAACUCCUAACCACUAAUCUGUUCUCCAUUUUUAACAUUUUAUCAUUUCAAAAUGCUGUAUACAUUUAAUAAUACAGAAUUUAACCUUUAGGAAUUUACUCUUCAUGGAGCAUAAUUCUCUGCAGAUUCACCCAAGUUGUUGUUUAUUCAUCCUUAUUGCUGCAUAGUAUUCCAUGCUACCUACGUACUAGAGAUUGUUAACCAUUCCACUGUUGAGGGACAUUCAGACUCAUUCAUAUUUCUGGCUAUUACAAAUAAGGCUAAUAUGAAUACUCAUGUACAGGUUUUUGUAUGAAAAUAAGUUUUCAUUCCUUUGGGAGAAAUGCCCAAGUAUGUAACUGUCUGGUCAUAUGGUAAAUUUAUGUGUAGUUUUAUAUGGAACUGUCAAACUGUUUUUCAGUGGGUAUAUUAAUAAACAUUCCCA